CUCCCAUUUGUAAGCAUCUCUGAGCCAGAAAUCAUUCAGCGGCUGCUGCUGCUGCAUCCUUCAGGGACAAAAUGUUCUAAAGAGCUAAUGUUGCUCUUUCAUUAAGAAACCUAUUCAGAGCCACAGAGAGCGAUUUUGACAGUGCAACUGGUAGUUGCUCUAGGGUAGGAGCUUGACAGGAGACCUAUUUUCAGCUAAAUGAAUGUAUACUGUUUAUUUAAAGAAACAGUCAGCUGCCGGUUUGGGUAUGCCUGAGAACAUCCCUGUGUGUCUCCUGCACUCUGCAUCCCCAGGCUGCACUUCUUAUGCCUUGAGAUGGCAACAAAACGGCUGAUGCAAUUUUAAAAUGGGACAUUCCAAGCGAUGAAUCUGGAGGUGUGACAGUUGUGAAGACAACAUGGCUACAGGACUGGCAGAACAGUCAAAGAAAGAAUCAUAAAAACUUAUGAAAACCUGGAAGAGAUGUCAGAAAAUUAGCACACCUGGACACGGAUCGGAGUUUAGAAGGAACUUCCCAGUCUGUGACAGAUAUGUCCUCACCUGUGAAUGCAAUCGGCUCUUUAAGAACUGCUGUGGAUCAACGAGGUGCUGAAGGACCUACUUUUGUUCAGAAGAACCACUCACACACAAUCAACUACGUGCUUCGUGCCAUCCAGACAGGACUGAAUAAACUUAACAGGUUGAAGAGUUAUUUGUCUGCGCCUUAUUGCAACCAGAUGGAGUGGUUAGAAGAAAAAUAUUCUGUGUACUUUAGGCUUUUAUGGUUCCCAAUACGGACAAAAUUCCCCUGGCUGACAACGGUGCUGAGGAGGACCUAUACUUUCAAACAGCUGCAACUCUGUUUUUACAGGAAGAACAUGAGCUGUGAAUGACCUCCCUGCAAUUAUCUGUGCUGAUUUGGAUACAGAGAGUAAAGAUGGAAUCAUAAAGUAACUUGCUGAACACAGAUACAGAAACGGCCCUCUGCUGAUGGUUCUACUUUAAAAGCUGAAAUCCAGCAUCGUAUUCUCCUGUGUGGUGGUGUGUAAACAACACUUUCGGAUGGCAGGGGGAAGUUCUUUGGAUAUCAGGGGUUAGUUUGUCACAGAGAGCAGUGAGGUGCUGGCACAGGCUGUCCAGAGAGGCUGUGGGUGCUCCGUCCCUGGAGGUGUUCAAGGUCAGAUUGGAUGGGGCCCUGGGCAGCCUGGUCCAGUGACAGAUCUGGAGGUUGGUGGCCCUGCCUGUAGCAGGGGGGUUGGAACUUGGUGAUCCUUGGGGUCCCUUCCAACCCAACCAUUCUGUGAUUCUAUGAUCACUUCAGAAGAAGUCAGUCGGAAAGCAGACAGGGAAGUAAGCAUCUUCGUGGAGAAGGAGGUGCUGCAUCUUUCUUCUGCACAAAGAAGCAAAGGAUCCAUCUUCUCCUGCAACAGCACUUAUCUGCAGUUUGCACAUAGUACAGCUACUAUUGUCUCCUACAUUAUCUCUUCUCUAUAAAGCAUAAUUGCACCAGAUCCUCGAGGUACUAAUCUGUGCAAUUCCAGUGACCUGCAUGGAGCUUUUGGCCCAUCUCUAUUAGACCUACCAACCUUCAUGCACAAAGCAACAUCAUCC
ensembl:lncRNA